rnacentral:lncRNA from 1 species
CAAUACAUAACUUUUACCCUAAAAAUUAGGAUAUAUUUAUUGCCCUUAAAAGUUUGUCUUAGUAUCUUCUCUUCACCAAUUUAAUAAUAUUAACACCCUAUCCCAACAAACAACAAUACAUUAACCCAUUCCGAUCAAGACAACAACGGCGCAUCCAUCGAAGAAACAAGAAACGAUGAUUUUACAGAGUAUUCAUCGGAGAAACAAGAAAUGACGGCAGUAUACGGUGUCUCCGAUCAUCGUCAAUCAUUAAACCAGCAAACAACGAUUCAAUAAGCAGCUGAGAAUGAAACUCUGUGAACUCCGUUAAACUAUUCCAUCGAAGAUUAGAGAAUCUGACACUUCUAGACGAAAAGGUGUUGUUUCGAAAAGAAAAUAUGUUGAAGACAUAACGAG